rnacentral:rRNA from 1 species
GAUCCUGGCUCAGGAUGAACGCUGACAGAAUGCUUAACACAUGCAAGUCAACUUGAAUUCGGGUUUUUAACUUAGAUUUGGGUGGCGGACGGGUGAGUAACGCGUAAAGAACUUGCCUCACAGCUAGGGACAGCAUUUAGAAAUGAAUGCUAAUACCUGAUAUUAUGAUUUUAAGGCAUCUUAGAAUUAUGAAAGCUAUAAGCACUGUGAGAGAGCUUUGCGUCCCAUUAG